GGGUAGUUUGACUGGGGCGGUCUCCUCCUAAAGAGUAACGGAGGAGCACGAAGGUCAGCUAAUCCUGGUCGGACAUCAGGAGGUUAGUGCAAUGGCAUAAGCUGGCUUGACUGCGAGCGUGACGGCGCGAGCAGGUGCGAAAGCAGGUCAUAGUGAUCCGGUGGUUCUGAAUGGAAGGGCCAUCGCUCAACGGAUAAAAGGUACUCCGGGGAUAACAGGCUGAUACCGCCCAAGAGUUCAUAUCGACGGCGGUGUUUGGCACCUCGAUGUCGGCUCAUCACAUCCUGGGGCUGAAGUAGGUCCCAAGGGUAUGGCUGUUCGCCAUUUAAAGUGGUACGCGAGCUGGGUUUAGAACGUCGUGAGACAGUUCGGUCCCUAUCUGCCGUGGGCGCUGGAGAAUUGAGGGGGGCUGCUCCUAGUACGAGAGGACCGGAGUGGACGCAUCACUGGUGUUCGGGUUGUCAUGCCAAUGGCAUUGCCCGGUAGCUAAAUGCGGAAGAGAUAAGUGCUGAAAGCAUCUAAGCACGAAACUUGCCCCGAGAUGAGUUCUCCCUGACUCCCUGAGAGUCCUGAAGGAACGUUGAAGACGACGACGUUGAUAGGCCGGGUGUGUAAGCGCAGCGAUGCGUUGAGCUAACCGGUACUAAUGAACCGUGAGGCUUAACCUU
rnacentral:rRNA from 1 species